rnacentral:rRNA from 1 species
UACAGAGGGUGCGAGCGUUACUCGGAAUUACUGGGCGUAAAGGGUGCGUAGGCGGUUCGUUAAGUCUGUUGUGAAAUCCCCGGGCUCAACCUGGGAAUGGCAAUGGAUACUGGCGGGCUAGAGUGUGUCAGAGGAUGGUGGAAUUCCCGGUGUAGCGGUGAAAUGCGUAGAGAUCGGGAGGAACAUCAGUGGCGAAGGCGGCCAUCUGGGACAACACUGACGCUGAAGCACGAAAGCGUGGGGAGCAAACAGG